GGGACUCUGACCCAAGGUUAUGUGGCAGUGAGGGGCAAGCAGAAAUGGGGGCCUCCGGACCCCACCCCGAGACAGGGCUGCUGGCCGCUGCACUAUGCUGAAUAUAGCCCAAAUUCUUACAUGGGUCGUCCCCGGGGAAUGCUCAUUUUUCAGGCUCCAGAGCUUGAGAGAAAGUGCGAACCCGGUCCCUGAGCAGGUCUGAUUCCCAUGGCCCCUUCGCCAUCUGCUCUGCACCGAAAUUGGAUUCUCCUACGCAGAGGAGAAGGUGGAGAAGAUUCUCCGUCUUCCGGAGGGUAGCUACUGCCGGUAGCUCCGAUUUCCUUCGGAUCCCCUUUCAAGGGCAAGCAGAAGGAAAUCAGUUUCUCCAAAGAAAGUGGCCCGGCUGAGUAAGUGGGAACAAGGUGGUUGGACUGAGGCACGGGAUCCUUUAGCUCCGUUGCUCUUCUAAUCCCGUGGCCCUGGGCACCGCCACUUCCUCCUCUGAACUGCUGGAAUAAUCACUUCUGACUAGCAGAGUUACUGGGAGCCGCUGUUUGUCAGUGUUCACAUUCUGACUUUAGCAGGAGAUGGAGCGAGCGAAGGAGUGAAGCCCUUGUUUGUGAACAGUGAUUGUUUCCCGGAUGACAGCCAGAUGCCGGGCAGGGCCACGCAGAUCUUAGCUGGAGCCUACAGGUACAAGUGAGAGCCACCCCCUUUGACGUAACUGGACUGGCAUUUACAGAACUCAUGUACAGCCCACUCUCAGGAACACCAGCCAGGAACCGUGACAUGGAGGAGAGGAAUUGGGAGGAACCGAGGGGUCAUCAAAGGCUGACAUGCCUUUCGCCCUCCGCCAUGAUUCUGAGGCCUCCCCAACCAUGCGGAACUGUUGGGUUUCAGCCGAGCAAGUCUGAGGCCCCUUUCCCGCGCCCUCUGGUGGAAAGUGUUCGCUUUUCUGUCCACCCAUGUGAAGGAUUCACCCCGACCCUCCUCAGGUGGCCUUUACUUUGCAGGAGCAAAGCAAGUUGGAUGAGGAGAUACAUGUAUGUGGCACACAGCUUUCUUCACUUAGCAACACGUCAGAUGCAGCGUAGAUGUGCGGAUGAAACCACCAUUGCAAAAUUAUCACUGAGACAGUCAGAGAAACCUGACAUGGCUGACUCCAUGUUGCUUUUAGCCUCACAGGCUGGCUCUCUUAGCUCAUUCCUAAGCAUGGGCCUGAAACUGCCAUUGCAAAAUCGUAACUGAGACAGCAAAAGAGACUUGACCUAACCAACUCCAUCUUGCUUCUAACCUCCAAGCUGUCCUUGUUCAUUCCUGGGUGUAGGCUGAACUAACUUUGGGAGGAACUUAAUUUAUAGUUUAAAACAAAGACGAUAAGACGAUAACAGCCCUUUCUCAAAACAAACAUCCUUCCUGACUGGGGACUAGACUGCCUUUGUAGGAUUAACAAAUUAGCCACAAGAUCAGAAAUUAUAGUUUAGGAGUCAUGCAGCUGGAGGCUCUAAGAUUGUGACCCUCCCUAAACCGCUCAGUGCUUGAGAUGUUUUACAGACCCUGCACUUAAUGGAUCAGCUGGCACCACCCAGAUGGAUAAACUGGCUCAUGUGAUCUUGUGGCCCCCACCCAGGAACUGACUCAGUGCAAGAAGACAACUUCAAUUCCCUAUGAUUUAAUGUCCUACCGAAUCAAUCAGCACUCCUGACACACUGGCUUCCCCUCACCCACCAAAUUGUCCUUAAAACCUCUGAUCUCCAAAUGCUUGAGGAGACUGAUUUGAGUAAUAAUAAAACAAGGCUCCUGCACAGCCGGCUCUGCGCGAAUUACUCUUUCUCUACUGCAGUUCUCCUGUCAUGAUAAAUCGGCUCCAUCUAGGCAGCCAGCAAGGUGAACCCACUGGGUGGUUACAGGCCACGCUAAGUUCGGGAGAAAUUUAGUUUAUGGUUUAAAUGAUAACAGCCCUUCCCCAAAACUAAACUGCCCUGGUAAAACUAAUGAAAGGCCGCCAAGUUAGGAGGAUGACAGGGGCCUGAAUUCUACUGAGCCGUAAGCGUAAUUACCGGCCAUUAUUCCAGAGGACACAAGAUUUGCAACUUGCCUAAUUACUCCUGCAAAGAACAUCGCUACUGUAGCACCUGAGAAUGGCCUUUUGAGAUGUGUUUUCAGGCUUUUGCACUUCUGACAACUGAUGGCUGCACUUGGACUCGCCAGCCGGUCCCGCGUCCCCACCAGAAGCAGAGUAAGCACAAGAGGACAGCUCCGACUCCCUAGGAUUUCAGCUCUGACCAGUCGCACGCCUGGCUCACUGGCUUCCCCACACCCACCAAGUUGUUCUUAAAAACUCUGCUGCCCGAAUGCUCAGGGAGAGUGAUUUGAGUAAUAAUGAAACUGUUGUCUCCUGCACAGUCGGCUCUGCGUGAAUUACUCUUUCUCUAUUGCAAUUCCGCUCUCUUGAGAAAUCGGCUCUGUCCAGGCAGCAGCAAGGUGAAGCCACUGGGCGGUUACACUGAUAUGAUUCCCCCUUUGCAGUUUUUACUCUCUUGGUGCUGCAAACAGUUCCUCACUGAGGACCCUUGUACACGUAUCACUGUGAGCAUGAAUCCGAAUUUCUUUAGGAGACAUACAUACUAGUGGGUAUGUGCAUGUUAUGUAAUUUCUCUUAGCACUGUUUCCUCACUCAUCAAAUAAGGAUCAAGUAGUUCUCACCACACAGGGUUAUUUUAGAAAUAAUUUAGUAUACAUAAUAUACAAUGCAAUAACAAGUACUGAUGUCUACUUCUUUUAGGUUAUAUGAUAAUACCUUAUACAUAGUACAUGUGUGAUUAUAUAUAUUGCAAUGUAGAGUACGAUCUAUAAUUUACAGAACUGUUGUUUAUAUAUAACAAAUGCUGUCCUUGCGAUAGUUUGCUCAGAAUGAUGGUUUAUGUAUACAUAUGUAACAAACCUGCACGUUGUGCACACGUACCCUAGAACUUAAAGUAUAAUUUUAAAAAAUGCUAUAAUUCAUGUGGUGAUUAUUAUCUACCAGUUACAUCAUCGAUAGAAUGAGGACGUUGUUAACGGUACACGCCAGACAGGAUGGCUGUGAGGAUCUGUGAUAAUAAGAAUUAGAUAUUUGGUCUUUGUCCCUGUUUCCUGAUGGAGGCUUCUAAACCCCUUGGAAUUCCCUGACUGAUAGGGGCAAGAGGAAAUCUUUUGUUAUUCCUAACGAGCCCCUUUCAUCCAUGCCUGUGUUUAUGCUAAUGAGGUGACUCCUGGAGGAUGAGGGCUGGUUGCCAGGGGAAUCAACUUUGCCUUGCAACUUUCAGCUCCAGUCCGUGACUUCCAGGGAAAGAACAGGGGCUGGAGAUUGAGUUUAAUCGCCAAUGACCAGUGAUUUGAUCAUUCAUGCUUAAAUAAUGGAACCAUAAGAAACCUAAAGAAAAGGUUUGGAGAGCUGCUGGGUUCAGGAGCACAUUCGUGUGCUGGGAGGGUGUUGUGCCUGGUGAAGGUGUGGAAGCGCUGACUCUGCCUCGCAUACCUUGUCCUGUCUGUGUCUUUCAUCUGGCUGUUGCUGAGUUGUGCUGUUUAUAAUAAUAAACUGGU
ensembl:lncRNA ZNF496-DT ZNF496 divergent transcript